rnacentral:rRNA from 1 species
GUGCCAGCCGCCGCGGUAAUACCGGCAGUCCGAGUGAUGACCGAUCUUAUUGGGCCUAAAGCGUCCGUAGCUGGCCGCGCAAGUCCGUCGGGAAAUCCACCUGCCCAACAGGUGGGCGUCCGGCGGAAACUGUGAGGCUUGGAACCGGAAGGCUCAGAGGGUACGUCCGGGGUAGGAGUGAAAUCCCAUAAUCCCGCACGGACCGCCGAUGGCGAAAGCACUUCGAGAAACCGGAUCCGACAGUGAGGGACGAAAGCCAGGGUCUCCAACCGGAUUAGAUACCCUAGUAGUCC